rnacentral:rRNA from 1 species
GAUGAACGCUAGCUACAGGCUAAACACAUGCAAGUCGAGGGGUAACAAGAGAAAAGCUUGCUUUUCUUGUUGACGACCGGCGCACGGGUGAGUAACGCGUAUCCAACCUGCCUAUAACUAGGGAAUAACCUUGCGAAAGUAAGACUAAUACCCUAUGAUUUCCUUUGAUGACAUCAGAUUAGGAAUAAAGAUUUAUCGGUUAUAGAUGGGGAUGCGUCUGAUUAGCUUGUUGGCGAGGUAACGGCCCACCAAGGCAACGAUCAGUAGGGGUUCUGAGGGGAAGGUCCCCCACAUUGGAACUGAGACACGGUCCAAACUCCUACGGGAGGCAGCCGUGAGGAAUAUUGGUCAAUGGGCGGAAGCCUGAACCAGCCAAGUAGCGUGCAGGAUGACGGCCCUAUGGGUUGUAAACUGCUUUUAUACAGGAAUAAAGUUAGCCACGUGUGGUUAUUUGUAGGUACUGUAUGAAUAAGGACCGGCUAAUUCCGUGCCAGCAGCCGCAGUAA